UCGUGACUUUAUCAGCGAUGUCGAAAGUGCACGCUAGGGCUUAACUCGCCGAAGAACAGGGGGUCUACUCUAAUUCACCGAAAAACGAAGUUUCGUACGAAAUUUCGCGAACUUCUUACCAUGGUUCUAUUUCGUUCCGAAAUUUCGUACGAACGAAGAUUGUUUGACGUUUAUUGUCUAUAAACCUACUCUAAUUCGAAAUGCUACGAACGAAUAUUUGAGUUUGACAGACGAAACUUCGGAAUUUUAACCUCAAAUUCAACGAAACCAAAAGAGUUAUCGUUUGAUUUUCGUGUUACUUUUCGUUUUGUGAAUUUUGUGUGAAAAUUAUUGGCAAAGGCUACAAUAAUGCUUUUAACCAAAGCAGCUUUACGUAAAGAUAGUGUAGAGCGAGGAGGGAAAAUAUUACCGAAAUUCUCGACGUAGAGUUUGUAGGAAAUCACAGACUCAGUCGGCAAUUUUUCAAAGAGUUGUGCCAGGAAUUCGUGCGUUUAUUAUCUCUAAACAAUGCAUAUUGCAAUUGCUAGACCUUCUGGAGCAUGAGGAACAAUAUUUUAAUAGAAAAUAAUUUCAUUCUCUGAACACCCAAGUUAUUUGUGACAGUGAUUACCUACUAUGUAACAAAUGUGGAUGUGUCAUUUGGGGGAGCAAUACACAUGAUGCUUAUAUUUGGAGAGAGUGUGUUAUUAGAAGCCACUUCAAGGGUCUCCAGAAUGAUACAGUUUAUCUGUUAGGUGACUCUGGGUAUGCUCUAAGGGAGCAUAUGAUGACACCUAUAGAUAAAGCUGUUGAAGAUUCUCUUGAAGGCAGUUACAACUUUGCAGAGCUUUGUUAAUGCAAAUUUUAGAAAGGAAUAGGUAGGACAAAGUUCUACUCAAGCACAUCAUAACAUGCUCCAGAAGAACUGUAUGUUUAUUGAUUUUAAGAAUUUGACAUGAUGUUAUUUCUUUACUUUAGAGUUUAAUAAAAGAAUAAAUUAUA